rnacentral:rRNA from 1 species
ACUACGGGCGGCAGCAGUAGGGAAUCUUCCACAAUGGACGAAAGUCUGAUGGAGCAACGCCGCGUGAGUGAAGAAGGGUUUCGGCUCGUAAAGCUCUGGGGGUAGUGAAGAAAGAUAGAGGUAGUAAGUGGCCUUUAUUUGACGGUAAUGACUUAGAAAGUCACGGCUAACUACGUGCCAGCAGCAGCGGUAAUACGUAGUGGGCAAGCGUUGUCAGGAUUUAUUGGGCGUAAAGCGAGUGCAGCCGAUUCAAUAAGUCUGAUGUGAAAGCCUUCGGCGCAACCGGAGAAUUGCAUCCGAAACUGUUGAACUUGAGUGCAGAAGAGGAGAGUGGACCUCCAUGUGUAGCGGUGGAAUGCGUAGAUAUAUGGAAGAACACCAGUGGCGACGGCGGCUCUCUGGUCUGCAACUGCCGCUGAGGCUCGAACGCAUGGGUAGCGAACAGGAUUAGAUACCCUUGUAGUC